rnacentral:tRNA from 2 species
GGUCCCGUAGUUCAACGGAUAGAAUAGAAGUUUCCUAAACUUUUGAUCCCAGUUCGAUUCUGGGCGGGACUA